rnacentral:rRNA from 1 species
CCUUAGUACGAGAGGACCGGGAUGGACCAACCUCUGGUGCACCAGUUGUCACGCCAGUGGCACAGCUGGGUAGCUAUGUUGGGACUGGAUAAACGCUGAAAGCAUCUAAGCGUGAAGCCAACCUCAAGAUGAGAUUUCCCAUAGCGUAAGCUAGUAAGACUCCUGGAAGAACACCAGGUUGAUAGGUCAGAGAUGUAAGCAUGGCAACAUGUUAAGUUGACUGAUACUAAUAAGUCGAGGGCUUGACCAAAA